AUUGAACGCUGGCGGCAGGCCUAACACAUGCCAGUCGAGCGGAUGAAGGGAGCUUGCUCCUGGAUUCAGCGGCGGACGGGUGAGUAAUGCCUAGGAAUCUGCCUGGUAGUGGGGGAUAACGUCCGGAAACGGGCGCUAAUACCGCAUACGUCCUGAGGGAGAAAGUGGGGGAUCUUCGGACCUCACGCUAUCAGAUGAGCCUAGGUCGGAUUAGCUAGUUGGUGGGGUAAAGGCCUACCAAGGCGACGAUCCGUAACUGGUCUGAGAGGAUGAUCAGUCACACUGGAACUGAGACACGGUCCAGACUCCUACGGGAGGCAGCAGUGGGGAAUAUUGGACAAUGGGCGAAAGCCUGAUCCAGCCAUGCCGCGUGUGUGAAGAAGGUCAUCGGAUUGUAAAGCACUUUAAGUUGGGAGGAAGGGCAGUAAGUUAAUACCUUGCUGUUUUGACGUUACCAACAGAAUAAGCACCGGCUAACUUCGUG
rnacentral:rRNA from 1 species